AAAACUUGAUUUGCACGCCCUGUGGAACACGCCGUCACAGAGGCGCAGUGUUUAUAUGUAAGAAUCCACCCAGGUGUACAUCAGACCAGCCCUGUCACAUCACAAGCAAGACAACGAAGUGCAGUGAUUGAGGAUUUUAAUUUCUUCUCCAUUUCAUGAAGAAAUAAACCCAGAAGUGGGACUGAAGGAGAAGCCUAGUCCGGGCUUGAUCCAGGAGAGCCAUGGAGGAAGAUUACAAGAGACCACCACCGUCCUAUGAAGAAGUUAUUACUCAGCAGCACACGAGCAACACUAACCAGAGCUCUCCUGAUAAGACUCGGGGUGCUUGCUGCAGGUGUUGCAUAAGCACCAAAAACUGCCUGAUGAGUCCAGAGUGCGGCCGAGCUCUCAACAUCGCCAGCGUGGUCGCCAUGUGCGGCAUGUGCAUUCGAAUGUUUGUUUAACACAGUCUCUUGUGGACCAUCUUUUCCAGAUCUCUCAUUCAGUGGUGGCCUUCAAAUUAAAAGAGAAACAAAGGCAUUUGCUCUGUUCCAAAACCUGAUCUGCAACAUUUAUAAGCUCUCCCCCAAUGCUAUUCCAAAAAUAGUAAGCAGAGCAGCAUGCAUCAUUCACAUAUAAGGUCAUCUCAGAAUAGAUUGUUAUUAAAAUGUUUUUUUAAAUGGUAAUGUCAAUUUUAAAGUAUUAUACAAUUAUAAACACAAAGUAUAUUUCAAUCAGAUGUUUGGAAAUAUCUUGUGGUUUAAUUCUGUGUUUGUAUUGUAAAGUACUUCUGUAGAUGUAUUUAUGUAUGACAAAGACAUUUCUGCCUUGUGACAAACAGAAUGGACAAUAAAGUUACUCUAAUCUAAAACUCAA